rnacentral:lncRNA from 1 species
UUUUAUAGCUGGAGAAACUGAGGCCUCCAAAUUAUGGGCAAGGACUUAAAAUAAUUUUCACCUAACUAGAACAACAUAAGCUUUCUCAUCAGAAGUGGUAGUACUUGAAACUAUCAAAUCUGUUCUUACUCCACUAUAUGGUAUGUAUGUGGUGAGUCUAUGUCAGUAUCACAUUCACUCAGUUGUAGUAAGGGUUUACAGGAGUGCCAUGUUUGCCUACUCAUUGUAACUAGACAUGUGGCUAAAAUUAUGAUUGUACUUCAGUUUAACUGAAACUCAAUUGACGCCAGCUAUUUUCCUAGAAUCCUCACACCAUGACUAGUCCUCAUCUUACUCUUCUCUUAUAGCCCA